UCUGAAAUGAUUCUGAACUAUGUGUAGUCAAGUAACCACUGUAUAUAUUAUUUUCCUUUUAGAAAACAAAAUAAUUCUGAAAGAAAGAAAACAAAGAAAACAUACUCCAGAAUUCCUAAUAGAACACUUCACCUGAACCUAAAAUGGUGAGCGAGAGUCACCAUGAGGCCCUGGCAGCCCCACCGGUCACCACUGUCGCGACUGUUCUGCCAAGCAAUGCCACAGAGCCAGCCAGUCCUGGAGAAGGAAAGGAAGAUGCCUUUUCUAAGCUGAAGGAGAAGUUUAUGAAUGAGUUGCAUAAAAUUCCAUUGCCACCGUGGGCCUUAAUCGCAAUAGCCAUAGUCGCAGUCCUUUUAGUCCUGACCUGCUGCUUUUGUAUCUGUAAGAAAUGUUUGUUCAAAAGAAAACAAGAAGAAGGGAAAGGAAAAGGAGGAAAGAAUGCCAUUAACAUGAAAGAUGUAAAAGACUUAGGGAAGACAAUGAAAGAUCAGGCCCUCAAGGAUGAUGAUGCUGAAACUGGAUUGACUGAUGGAGAAGAAAAGAAGAACCCAAAGAAGAGGAGAAACUGGGAAAACUUCAGUAUUCACUGGAUUAUGAUUUCCAAAAUAACCAGGUCUGAAGUGGAGAAAUGUCUUCAAAUUCCAUUAUGUUUUCUGAAAUUACCAAGUAGAAAUUGCAG
rnacentral:lncRNA from 1 species